UACAGAGGGGGCAAGCGUUAUUCGGAAUUAUUGGGCGUAAAGGGCGCGUAGGCGGCAUGGCGAGUGGAUGGUGAAAUCCCUCGGCUUAACCGAGGAACUGCCGUCCAAACUGCUUCGCUUGAGACCGGGAGAGGUGAGUGGAAUUCCCAGUGUAGCGGUGAAAUGCGUAGAUAUUGGGAGGAACACCAGUGGCGAAGGCGGCUCACUGGACCGGUACUGACGCUGAUGCGCGAAAGCGUGGGGAGCAAACGGG
rnacentral:rRNA from 1 species